GGGGAUGAUCGGUUUCGACAUUGCAUUGCUGCGUGGAUGAAGCGGGUCGAGGAUGAGCACUUAUCUCGUAAACGAUGUGUUCAAAACUAUAGGUGCCAAAACAAAGCGCGCCGACUUCGCCCUAGCUGCAUAGCUAGCCUCGAGGUCCGUCUGACUAGGUUUGAUUUCGAUCUAGCUCCAGACGUCAUUUAGAAAUCUAGCUAACCGCUUGCGUCAAAGGUGCGGUUGGGACUUUUCACUUUGACUGGGCUUGUCGGCGUAGUUGCUUCAAACAAAUGCCGGAGCCGAGUAGAACGAAUUCUGAAGCUACACCCGUAGAAGAGCCAUAAUCGAUGUCAUGGACGGGGGUUCAAUUCCCCCCAUCUCCACAA
rfam:Candidatus Aquiluna sp. IMCC13023 C3_IMCC13023, whole genome shotgun sequence.